GUGCAUGCAGCCCCUGUCACGUACCCCUUGCUUGACUGAAUCAAUCACGACCCUUUCAUGUAAAAUCUUUAGUGUUGUGAGCCCUUAAAUGGGACAGAAACUGUGCACUCAGGGAGCUUGGAUUUUAAGGCAGUAGCUUGCCGAUGCUACCAGCUGAAUAAAGCCCUUCCUUCUACAACUCGAUGUCUGAGAAGUUUUGUCUGCAGCUCGUCCUGCUACAUUUCUUGGUUCCCUGACCGGGAAGUGAGGUAAUUGACGGACUGCCGAGGCAGCACCUUAGGCGGCUUAGACGUGCCCUGUGGAGCAUCUCUGCGGGGGACUCCAGCCAGCCUGAGUGACGCGAUCCAAACAGCGCUCCUGGGUAGGAAAAUGCCCCAGUGGGAUGCCUCACCAGAGCAGCGCUUGGCAGGCCCCCGCGGAGGAUAAACACAGUGGCUGAACACCAGGAAGGAACUGGCACUUGGAGUCCAGACAUCUGAAACUUGCCUAUCAGAGCUGCUGAGACUGCAUUCUGGGUCUUUUAUCUCAGCUGGAUUAUUCACACCUAAAGAAGACUGACUGAGAUGUGUUGGCGGGCUUCUCAAGAUCCCUAUCGAUGGCAGAAUGCUGACAUGAGUUGCCCAUAGUCCAGGUUUCCCAAUGUAGCAGAUGACUCUAGCGGCUCCAGCUUCAGCAUCAUCUUAAGUUCAAGUGAAAAGGAAAAGAGAAUCUCUUUUUCUUCAAACAAUUUCAAACUAAAAUCUUGAGUCUGACUUUUCCUGGCCAGAAUUAAGCUUGUACUUAUCCCUGAAAAAUCAUCAAUGCUACAGUGAUGAAUUUACCAAUUGAGGCAGAAUUUAGGUCACAUGACGCUCCAAAGCCUCUUCAAAACCGCAUGACUCAGAGUGAGGCAGAAGUAUUUGGGAUAUUUGCAACAGGAGAAGGGUAAAUGAAUGGAGAGUGCCAAAACAACUUAUGUCAAUUAUACAAUUAUAAAUACAACCAAAAUAAAGUAUGGAAAUCAGUAUUUUCACCUAUCUUAACAGAGUGAAAGAUUUAUUCUGUUGAAUAUUUGCCAUAUUUCACUUUCCACAUUCAGCACUCUGCAAUAUUUAAAGAAGAAAAUAAGUCUCCAUAUACUGAAUAAAGACAUAUCAAAAUUUGUGUGACAUCAUAUUCCUUAGUUACAUUUUUUGUUCAUUCAUUUGUGUGUUUGUUUAUGUCACCCACACUAGAUCAUGGUGGUGUGAACAUGGUUCACUACAGCCUCAACAUCCUGGGCCCAAGCAAUCCUCCCACCUCAGCCUCCUGUGUAGCUAAGACCACAGGUGGGCACCACCAUGCCCAGCUACCUUUUAAUUUUUUGUAGAUAUGGGGGUCUCACUUUGUUGCCCAGGCUGGUCUCGAACUCCUGGGCUCAAGCUAUCCCCACAACACUUUGGUUUGGCCUCCCAAAGUGUCGGGAUUACAGGUGCGAGCCAGUGCACUCAGCCUUACAUUUUUUAAUAAAUGAAUUUAAACAAAGAAUAGAAACAUAUUUUUAAACACACCAAUUAACAAACCAAAGUGUAUUGCAAAUUAUUGGAAGGGACAGCAGAGUGAAAAAAUGUUAUCCCACCUGCAGGAGGUGGAAAAGGUGAUAAUAUGAAACAAAUAUUUCCACCUAUCCUAAUAGAGUAAAAGAUUUAUUCUGCUGGAUAUUUUCUGUAUUUUACCUACCUUCCACAUUCAGCACUCUGCACUCUCUUGCCCAACUAUUCCUUUUAAUUUUCCCAUAAUACAACUUUUUAAUAUUUUAUGUAAUAUAUGUAUUUAUUUCUUUCUUUUACUAACUGUGUUUCCUACUGGAAUGUAAGCUUCAAAAAUUCAGAGAUCUUUGUCCUUGUUGCUGAUAUAGCCUACUGUCUAAAAAAAACUUCAGAUAUUUAAUUUUUUUAACUUUUAAGUUCAGGGGUACAAGUGCAAGUUUGUUACAUAGAUAAACAUGUGUCAUGGGGGUUUCUUGUGCAUAUCAUUUAAUCACUCAGGUAUUAAGCUUAGUACCCAUUAGUUAUUUUUUUCUGAUCUUCUCUCUCCUCCUAUCCUUCACUCUUCAAUAGGCCCCAGUGUGUGUUAUUCUCCUCUAUGGGUCCAUAUGUUCUCAUCAUUUAGCUCCCACUUAUAAGUGAGAGCAUGCAGUGUUUGGUUUUCUGUUUCUGUCAGUUUGCUAGGGAUAAUGGCCUCCAGCUCCAACCAUGUUCCUGCAAAGGACAUGAUCUCAUUUUUUUUAUGGCUGCAUGGUAGUCCAUGGUGUAUAUAUACCACAUUUUCUUUAUCCAGUCUAUCAUUGAUGGGCAUUUAUAUUGAUUUCAUGUCUUUGAGAUUGUAAAUAGUGCUGCAGUGAACAUAUGUGUGUAUGUGUCUUUAUAAUAUAAUGAUUUAUGUUCCUUUGGGUAUAUACCCAGCAAUGGGAUUGCUGGGUCAAAUGGUUUUUCUGUCUUUAGGUCUUUGAGGAAUUGCCACACUGUCUUCCACCAUCUUUAUUUCUGCCUUCGUUUCGUUAUGUACCAGUAGUCAUUCAGGAGCAGGUUAUUCAGUUUCCAUGUAGUUGAUCAGUUUUGAGUGAGUUUCUUAAUCCUGAGUUCUAGUUUGAUUGCACUGUGGU
rnacentral:lncRNA from 1 species